rnacentral:rRNA from 1 species
GGGAGAUAGCUGGUUCUCCCCGAAAGCUAUUUAGGUAGCGCCUCGUGAAUUCAUCUCCGGGGGUAGAGCACUGUUUCGGCAAGGGGGUCAUCCCGACUUACCAACCCGAUGCAAACUGCGAAUACCGGAGAAUGUUAUCACGGGAGACACACGGCGGGUGCUAACGUCCGUCGUGAAGAGGGAAACAACCCAGACCGCCAGCUAAGGUCCCAAAGUCAUGGUUAAGUGGGAAACGAUGUGGGAAGGCCCAGACAGCCAGGAUGUUGGCUUAGAAGCAGCCAUCAUUUAAAGAAAGCGUAAUAGCUCACUGGUCGAGUCGGCCUGCGCGGAAGAUGUAACGGGGCUAAACCAUGCACCGAAGCUGCGGCAGCGACACUAUGUGUUGUUGGGUAGGGGAGCGUUCUGUAAGCCUGUGAAGGUGUACUGUGAGGUAUGCUGGAGGUAUCAGAAGUGCGAAUGCUGACAUAAGUAACGAUAAAGCGGGUGAAAAGCCCGCUCGCCGGAAGACCAAGGGUUCCUGUCCAACGUUAAUCGGGGCAGGGUGAGUCGACCCCUAAGGCGAGGCCGAAAGGCGUAGUCGAUGGGAAACAGGUUAAUAUUCCUGUACUUGGUGUUACUGCGAAGGGGGGACGGAGAAGGCUAUGUUGGCCGGGCGACGGUUGUCCCGGUUUAAGCGUGUAGGCUGGUUUUCCAGGCAAAUCCGGAAAAUCAAGGCUGAGGCGUGAUGACGAGGCACUACGGUGCUGAAGCAACAAAUGCCCUGCUUCCAGGAAAAGCCUCUAAGCAUCAGGUAACAUCAAAUCGUACCCCAAACCGACACAGGUGGUCAGGUAGAGAAUACCAAGGCGCUUGAGAGAACUCGGGUGAAGGAACUAGGCAAAAUGGUGCCGUAACUUCGGGAGAAGGCACGCUGAUAUGUAGGUGAAGUCCCUCGCGGAUGGAGCUGAAAUCAGUCGAAGAUACCAGCUGGCUGCAACUGUUUAUUAAAAACACAGCACUGUGCAAACACGAAAGUGGACGUAUACGGUGUGACGCCUGCCCGGUGC